UAAAAAAUUUGGCGGUAUUUUAGUCUAUUCAGAGGAACCUGUUCUGUAAUCGAUAAUCCACGAUGGACCUUACUUAGAUUUGUUUAGUUUAUAUACCGUCGUUAUUAGAAUAUUUUAUAAGAAUGUUAAUUUUCAUAAUUUUUAAAAAGAAAAUAUAUCAGAUCAAGGUGUAGCUUAUAUUUAAGUAGAAAUGGGUUACAAUAAUUUUAUUUAAAUGGAUAUAAAUAUGAAAUGUUUAUUGAAGGUGGAUUUGAUAGUAAAAUUAUAUAGAUAAAUAAUUUGAUUUUAGCUCUAAAAUAUGUACACAUCGCCCGUCACUCUUAUUAUUAAGAUAAGAUAAGUCGUAACAUAGUAGAUGUACUGGAAAGUGUAUCUAGAAUGCAAUUUAAAGCUUAUUAAGUAAAGUAUUUCAUUUACAUUGAAAAGAUUUUUGUGCAAAUCAAUAUGAAUUGAAUAGAUUUUAUUUAUUUAUUUUUUUUAUUUUUUAUUAUUUUAUUAAAAAUAAUUAUAAAAAGGGUUAGUUUAAGUAUUUUAUAAAGAAAAAAUAAAAUUUAUUAUAGUUUAAUAGUAUUGUGAAAGAAAAUUGAAAUAAUUUGAAAAA
rnacentral:rRNA from 1 species